rnacentral:rRNA from 1 species
UACAGAGGGUGCGAGCGUUGUCCGGAAUCACUGGGCGUAAAGGGCGCGUAGGCGGCUUGAUAGCGUGCGGUGAAAGCCCGGGGCUCAACCCCGGGUCGGCCGUGCGAACUGUCGAGCUGGAGCACUGUAGAGGCAGGUGGAAUUCCGGGUGUAGCGGUGGAAUGCGUAGAGAUCCGGAAGAACACCGGUGGCGAAGGCGGCCUGCUGGGCAGUGGCUGACGCUGAGGCGCGACAGCGUGGGGAGCAAACAGG